rnacentral:lncRNA from 1 species
UUGAAGUUAUUAGAAGCUGAUAUUUUACAUUUUAAAUUUUUAAAGCAAUACAAGAUUAAACUUAGCAAAAGGCUAAACUUCUGCUCUGGAGAAAAAAAAGGAAGACAGCGAA